ensembl:lncRNA
AUGAAGGUGAAGCGGUUCGCUGGGACGUUGAGGGGUCUGUUAAAAAUCCUGCGUGCAAUUGAGCGGUACAACAUAAGAGAUUCAUCAGGAGACCAUGAUAUAAGCCCCCGCCGCAAAACAACAUGAAGGUAAGAUAUGAGUUAAAACAGUGUUUUGUUGUUACUGCAACGCUACAAAACCUGUUUUUCCUCUUGUUUUUAACAUCAAAAGACAUUCUCGAUCUGAAUGCGGUAAGUCGAGCGUAGCAGGAAAUAGUGGUGAGAAUAUUUCGACACUCACUCCUCGUUAGUAUAGUGGUAAGUAUCCCCGCCUGUCACGCGGGAGACCGGGGUUCGAUUCCCCGACGGGGAGAGUACUCUUUUUUUCCCUCUGUGUGUUCACAGGAAAACUCAUUUAUAGACUCCCAACUGUAUAUCUAAAGAUUACCUGUGAAUAACAUAAUUGUUUUAUUUUAAAAUAAGACAAAACAUCUCAUUAGUAGAUCGUUUUACUUACGAAAAGAUGCUACUCUUCUAAAGUAGACUUGUUUUUGUAGGUUUUUGCGUCUCUUUGAUUUUCCACUGAGUUUGAAGUGAAAUAUCUAGAAAUGUUUUCAAAGCAGCUUGUGAAUCAUUAGUUAAAACAGCUCUGCUGUGUUGGUUAGAGCGUGGUGCUAAUAACGCCAAGGUUGUGGAUUCGAUCCCCGUAUGGGCCAAUGUUUAGCUUCUGCAAUGGUUUGAUUUAUAUUUUAACUUUUAAAAUCUGUUUCAUAAUAAUAAUAAUAAUAAGGAAAAAAAUUCAGCAUCUCGUGUGAUUUUGCUGAUUAAAGGUAUAGUUUAGUUAAAAUUCUAAAAGGCCCUGAAAAGGUUUUGAUGGUUAACAUUACAUAAUGUAUUUGCUAAUGUGAAUAACAUGAAUA